rnacentral:lncRNA from 1 species
UUGUAUUGUAUUUUAAAGUUCUCAUUUGUUAUGCUAAUUAUCUUUAAUAUUUAAAGAUGAAGAAAUUAAAAUUUGUUAUCUUAUUCAUAUAAAAAAUUAAUGUAUUCAAUUCUUCCACGUCUCUUUCUGUCAAAAGUCAUCACUCAUCACAGUAGAUGAGGUAACCAAAACAAAAAUGAUCUCUCCAUAAAAUUCCCAAGAUCUUAU